UUGAUUUUGCCGCCGGGUAAAUUAAAAGCAUUGUAAUUCAUAUCGUUAGGCCAUAGAAGAUAUGAAAUUAUAAUGCUUUUUAUUU
rnacentral:ncRNA from 1 species